CGGCCCGCUGCUUGAUCACUUCCAUGUUUGACUGGUCUUCCUUUCGCUGGGAUUGGACGAGUGCCAGGCAAAAUGAUAAUUAGUGGUAUCACUAGUCAUUACAUUGGUGGGCAUCGCUUUAUCAACGAUGUAGUUCCGCUAAGCAAGCUCCAAAGUGAAGACCCUGUAUCGGUCGGCGUAUUUCAAGUGAGCAGUAAUAGCAAUCGAUACAUUUUUAUCAGCUCCAGCUACUAUGUAAUGGAGCGUUUGAACUAGAUUAAACUGGUUGGCCUUCAUUAUAAGCUGUAAGAUAAACAUCCUCCUGUAUUAAUCUGUUUAACUUGUACCAAUGUAAAUAUGAUGAUUAAAACUGCGAAACUAAAUCCGUAUAGUAAAAUGCUUAGAUACGUAAUAAACUGUUAUCAACAGUUUCUACUUACGUCAUAUUAUCAGCUCUUCAACGUAUGUUUGAUAAUGCAGUUUUCCAAGCAGGAUGAAAGCUAUUCGCUUGAAGUGCAAGCUUUUUAGAAGAGGCAGUUUAAACUGCAUACAUUGUGUACAGUUAGCUAAGUCUUGAUAAGGAGAAGCUAAAAAAUGAGCAUUUUAAUUUUUUUUUUGUAUUUCAACAGACUUUAUAAGUAAACGCAUUUAGUAAAUUGUAUUGAAUUAGGGUCAGUCGAGAUUUGACCUCACAUUCUGUAUAUUUCCAUCCAUUCCCUUCUCUGUAUGUGUUGAUUUAAUUAGACAUCUUCAGAAUAAUAAAAUGCAAAGCAAUCAACCGUACACUACUAAUUGUUAUUGUUUUGCUUUUCACUUUCUGGAACACCGGCCAUUAGUCACGACUCGCAAAUAAUGCCACAAACCUGACAAUUCUCUACCACGAUCACUCUAUCCUGAUCGCUGCGUCUUGUUCAAACCGCUUCACCGAUCUGGGCAGUAGAACCGGAUCGAACCACUUCCUGUUGAAGCGAGAAGUGAUCGAACGGCUGUACACCUUUUAGCGCGCAUUCAAAUUGCGCAACGUAUUUACAGCAUACCCGGACCCGAGCGAUUCCACUUGUUGUCUUGAAACCCAUUAGAGAAUGUAAAGAAGAUGAAGUAGAAAUAGAAAAGAUCAACCAGAGGCUCUUACAUAGUUUCUAUCACGAUGGGAUCACUGUGCCCACCGCUCAUGCCGCAUCCCGCAGCCGUCACCCAUCGUCGAAAGCUUUGUCCGGUGUGUUCCUGUUUGAACCAGUGUUCCUGUGGCGUCACGUUUUAAGCCUUCAAAUGCCUUCCGCUGCAUUUGCGGAUGAUGAUUCGUGAUGGUGUUUAUAUGGCUUUGAGAAUGAUGGCAAGUGCAUUUGCACACAAUUGCACUUUAGAAAACACUAUCAUGUGUUAUCAAAGGGAGGGAUUAGUUAGGGCAAAAAGCUGCUGACAGGUAGCACUUGACUUGACACGGAGAGAGCACGAGAGUAAGGCGUAUGAGGAAGCACGUUAAUCUUGAGAACAAACAAACCGACGACCAUAUAAAGUGUCGCAUGCACAAUAAUCUCCAUAGGGUUUUAUCUCAUCCCUUAACGAUCACAUUUAACUUAUUUUAUUUUCCUUUUUACAGAAAAUAAAGCAAUGUGGAAAAUAAUUUUCACAUCAUCGUCGACUCCAA